rnacentral:rRNA from 1 species
UACGGGGGGAGCAAGCGUUGUUCGGAAUCACUGGGCGUAAGGGAGUCUAGGCGGUUUGGUAAGUGGGAUGUGAAAUCCCCGGGCUCACCCCGGGACCUGCAUCCCAAACUGCUGAGCUUGAGUACAGGAGAGGGUGGGGGAAUUCCAGGUGUAGCGGUGAAAUGCGUAGAUAUCUGGAGGAACACCGGUGGCGAAGGCGCCCACCUGGCCUGCUACUGACGCUGAGACGCGAAAGCGUGGGGAGCAA